GCCCUGUUACUCUUGUUUAAGUAAUCUGUUGAGUGGUGGAUUUCUGACUUGUCCUCCGCAGCAAGAAUCUCGAGUACAAAUAUCUGUGUCAGCAUCACCGUGGGUAUUGUCAACAGCAUUGUAUGUCCUGAAGGGUUUGUCUCAGAGGAUAAGUCCUUGAGAACAAAAUAAGUUUCUCCUCAAUACUAUAUUUCUCCUACUAAGAAAGUAAGGUUUCACCAGCUGCUGACCUUGGUUUGACUAGUUGUGCUAAAUGUUCUGGAUCUAACAGCUGUUCAUUUAGGCCUUGAUUUCAUGGUCAUUCCACCGUUGCCAUAGGUGAGGUCAGAAGUUUUGUUUGUGUUGAAUUAUCCUUCUACAAAUUCUGGGGGAAGAAAUCUCCAUACUCUGAGUGGAACAUGGUAGGACUAUGUGAACAUCUUUUGACUUACUGAAUUAUUU